rnacentral:rRNA from 1 species
GACGAACGCUGGCGGCGUGCCUAAUACAUGCAAGUUGAGCGCUGAAGGUUGGUACUUGUACCAACUGGAUGAGCAGCGAACGGGUGAGUAACGCGUGGGGAAUCUGCCUUUGAGCGGGGGACAACAUUUGGAAACGAAUGCUAAUACCGCAUAAAAACUUUAAACACAAGUUUUAAGUUUGAAAGAUGCAAUUGCAUCACUCAAAGAUGAUCCCGCGUUGUAUUAGCUAGUUGGUGAGGUAAAGGCUCACCAAGGCGAUGAUACAUAGCCGACCUGAGAGGGUGAUCGGCCACAUUGGGACUGAGACACGGCCCAAACUCCUACGGGAGGCAGCAGUAGGGAAUCUUCGGCAAUGGACGAAAGUCUGACCGAGCAACGCCGCGUGAGUGAAGAAGGUUGUCGGAUCGUAAAACUCUGUAGGUAGAGAAGAACGUUGGUGAGAGUGGAAAGCUCAUCAAGUGACGGUAACUACCCAGAAAGGGACGGCUAACUACGUG